GGAGGUAGUGACAAUAAAUCUCAAUACGAAGCCUUUGGUUUUGUAAUUGAAUUGAGAACAAUGUACAAUCGUUAUCGAUAAACAAUUGGAGGGCAAGUCUGGUGCCAGCAGCCGCGGUAAUUCCAGCUCCAAUAGCGUAUAUUAACGUUGUUGCAGUUAAAAAGCUCGUAGUUGAAGUUUAGAUAAUUUAUUGAAAGUGUUUGUAUUCGUACAUUCUACUUUUAUGUAAGUUAUCGACAUCCAGGUGGGUGCCAUGGUUCCGCAAGGAAUCGUGGUACUAGACUGGUCAUUUACUGUGAGAAAAUUAGAGUGUUUAAAGCGGACUGUUCAGUUUGAAUAGAUUAGCAUGGAAUAAUAAGAUUGGCUUUCAUAGUCGAUUUUUUGGUUUGUUUAUGAAAGCAAGAUUAAUAGGGACAGUUGGGGGUAUUCAUAUUCAAUAGCUAGAGGUGAAAUUCUAUGAUUUAUGGAAGAUGAACAAGUGCGAAAGCA
rnacentral:rRNA from 1 species